rnacentral:rRNA from 1 species
AUAGCGUAUAUUAAAGUUGUUGCAGUUAAAACGCUCGUAGUUGAACUUCAGACCUGGCUGGGCGGUCCGCCUUCUUGGUGUGUACUUACUCAACGGGGACUUACCUCCUGGUGAGCUGCAAUGUCCUUUACUGGGUGUUGUAGGGAACCAGGACGUUUACUUUGAAAAAAUUAGAGUGUUCAAAGCAGGCCUACGCCCGAAUACAUUAGCAUGGAAUAAUAGAAUAGGACGCGCGUUCCCAUUUUGUUGGUUUCUGAGAUCGCCGUAAUGAUUAAUAGGGAUAGUUGGGGGCAUUCGUAUUCCGUCGUCAGAGGUGAAAUUCUUGGAUUGCCGGAAGACGAACUUCUG